rnacentral:rRNA from 1 species
GACGAACGCUGGCGGCGUGCUUAACACAUGCAAGUCGAACGAUGAUGCUGGAGCUUGCUCCAGUUGAUUAGUGGCGAACGGGUGAGUAACACGUGAGCAAUCUGCCCUUGACUCUGGGAUAACUGCGGGAAACUGUAGCUAAUACCGGAUACUUUCACCGGGGGGCAUCCUCUGGCGAUGAAAGAAUUUCGGUCAAGGAUGAGCUCGCGGCCUAUCAGCUUGUUGGUGAGGUAACGGCUCACCAAGGCGACGACGGGUAACCGGCCUGAGAGGGUGACCGGUCACACUGGGACUGAGACACUGCCCAGACUCCUACGGGAGGCAGCAGUGGGGAAUAUUGCACAAUGGGCGCAAGCCUGAUGCAGCAACGCCGCGUGAGGGAUGAAGGCCUUCGGGUUGUAAACCUCUUUUAGCAGGGAAGAAGCGAAAGUGACGGUACCUGCAGAAAAAGCACCGGCUAACUACGUGCCAGCAGCCGCGGUAA